rnacentral:rRNA from 1 species
AUUGAACGCUGGCGGCAGGCCUAACACAUGCAAGUCGAGCGAGCGGCGGACGGGUGAGUAAUGUAUGGGGACUGCCCGAUAGAGGGGGAUAACUACUGGAAACGGUAGCUAAUACCGCAUACUAUCGGAUAACCCAUAUGGGAUUAGUUAGUAGGUGAGGUAAUGGCUCACCUAGGCGACGAUCCCUAGCUGGUCUGAGAGGAUGAUCAGCAGCACUGGGACUGAGACACGGCCCAGACUCCUACGGAGGCAGCGGUGGGGAGUAUUGGACAGUGGACGCAAGCCUGAUGAAGCCAUGCCGCGUGUAGGAAGAAGGCAAUAGGGUUGUAAAGUACUUUAAGUCGGGAAGCGUUACCGACAGAAGAAGCACCGGCUAACUCCGUGCCAGCAGCCGCGGUAAUUC